UAUCCACAUUGUUUCCAUUGACACUGAGGGGAGAGGACUGUUUUCCAGCAAUGAUGAAAGUCCCAGGUUUGCUACUUGACCUUUUCUAACAUUAUUCUGGCAAGACUGUUCAAAUGCCUCAUUACUGCCUUGGCGAAGAUGUGAUCAUUAAUGCAAACAAGUGCAAAAAUUCCCAGUACAGGCAUAUGAACUAAAAGAGCAGCAAUACACAGAGGUCUUCCACCAGCUGGAUGGGUGAACAAAUAAAAUAGUCUGCUAAGAAGUACACAACCCCUUGUUGUGUUUCUACUUUGUAAAAUGUCAGCCUGAGGCUAUGUUUUACCGCAAUGGAAUUUGACCACUGAAG